rnacentral:rRNA from 1 species
CAGUAGCCGCGGGAACACGUAGGGAGCAAGCGUUGUUCGGAUUUACUGGGCGUAAAGGGCGCGUAGGCGGCGCGGUAAGUCACUUGUGAAAUCUCUGAGCUUAACUCAGAACGGCCAAGUGAUACUGCUGUGCUAGAGUGUGUCAGAGGAUGGUGGAAUUCCCGGUGUAGCGGUGGAAUGCGUAGAGAUCGGGAGGAACAUCAGUGGCGAAGGCGGCCAUCUGGGACAACACUGACGCUGAGGCACGAAAGCGUGGGGAGCAAACAGGAUUAGAUACCCCGGUAGUCCCUGUCUCUUAUAC